rnacentral:rRNA from 1 species
AACGUAGGAGACAAACGUUAUCCGGAGUUACUGGGCGUAAAGGGCGCGUAGGUGGCCCGACAAGUCAGUGGUGAAAGCUCGACGCUUAACGUCGAGUCGGCCACUGAUACUGUUGGGCUGGAGCACUGUAGAGGCAGAUGGAAUUCCGGGUGUAGCGGUGGAAUGCGUAGAGAUCCGGAAGAACACCGGUGGCGAAGGCGGUCUGCUGGGCAGUAGCUGACACUGAGGCGCGACAGCGUGGGGAGCAAACAGG